UGCGCAGGCGGUUUUGUAAGUCAGAUGUGAAAUCCCCGAGCUCAACUUGGGAACUGCGUUUGAAACUACAAGACUAGAAUAUGUCAGAGGGGGGUAGAAUUCCACGUGUAGCAGUGAAAUGCGUAGAGAUGUGGAGGAAUACCAUGGCGAAGGCAGCCCCCUGGGAUAAUAUUGACGCUCAUGCACGAAAGCGUGGGGAGCAAACA
rnacentral:rRNA from 1 species